rnacentral:rRNA from 1 species
CUAAGGCUCCAGAGGAAGCCACGGCUAACUCUGUGCCAGCAGCCGCGGUAAUACAGAGGCGGCAAGCGUUGUUCGGAAUUAUUGGGCGUAAAGAGCACGUAGGCGGCCUCGCAAGUCAGUUGUGAAAGCCUUCCGCUUAACGGAAGAAUGCCAGCUGAUACUACAGGGCUUGAGUACGGAAGGGGAGAGUGGAACUUCUGGUGGGGCGGUGAAAUGCGUAGAUAUCAGAAGGAACGCCGGCGGCGAAAGCGACUCUCUGGCCCGAAACUGACGCUGAGUGUGCGAAAGCUAGGGGAGCAAACGGGAUUAGAUACCCCGGUAGUCCUAGCCGUAAA